rnacentral:rRNA from 1 species
AUUGAACGCUGGCGGCAUGCUUUACACAUGCAAGUCGAACGGUAACAGGUCUUCGGAUGCUGACGAGUGGCGAACGGGUGAGUAAUGCAUCGGAACGUGCCCAGUCGUGGGGGAUAACGCAGCGAAAGCUGUGCUAGUACCGCAUACGAUCUAUGGAUGAAAGCGGGGGACCGUAAGGCCUCGCGCGAUUGGAGCGGCCGAUGUCAGAUUAACUAGUUGGUGGGGUAAAGGCCCACCAAGGCGACGAUCUGUAGCUGGUCUGAGAGGACGACCAGCCACACUGGGACUGAGACACGGCCCAGACUCCUACGGGAGGCAGCAGUGGGGAAUUUUGGACAAUGGGCGCAAGCCUGAUCCAGCAAUGCCGCGUGCAGGAAGAAGGCCUUCGGGUUGUAAACUGCUUUUGUACGGAACGAAAAGGUUCGGGUUAAUACCCUGGGCUCAUGACGGUACCGUAAGAAUAAGCACCGGCUAACUACGUGCCAGCCGCCGCGGUAACAC